UACGUAGGAUCCGAGCGUUGUCCGGAUUUACUGGGUGUAAAGGGUGCGCAGGCGGACUGGUAAGUCAGUGGUGAAAUCUCGUCGCUUAACGACGAAACUGCCUUUGAUACUAUCAGUCUUGAAUCCGGUAGAGAUCUGUGGAAUUCCGAGUGUAGCAGUGAAAUGUGUAGAUAUUCGGAAGAACACCAGUGGCGAAGGCAGCAGAUUGGGCCGGUAUUGACGCUCAGGCACGAAAGCAUGGGGAUCAAACAGGA
rnacentral:rRNA from 1 species